rnacentral:rRNA from 1 species
CAGUCGCCGCGGUAAUACAGAGGAUGCAAGCGUUAUCCUGAAUGAUUCGGCGUAAAGCGUCUGUAGGUGGCUUUUCAAGUCCGCCAUCAAAUCCUAGGGCUCAACCCUGGACAGGCGGUGGAAACUACCAAGCUGGAGUAUGGUAGGGGCAGAGGGAAUUUCCGAUGGAGCGGUGAAAUGCAUUGAGAUCAGAAAGAACACCAACAGUGAAAGCACUCUGCUGGGCCGACACUGACACUAAGAGACGAAAGCUAGGGGAGCAAAUGGGAUUAGAUACCCGAGUAGUCCCUGUCUCUUAUAA